UUACGGUCAAAUCACGCUGAAAACACCGGUUCUCGUUCGAUCACCGAAGUUAAGCAUCGUAGAGCCAGGUCAGUACUUAGAGAUGGGGACCGCUUGGGAACACCUGGUACUGUAAG